rnacentral:lncRNA from 1 species
GGAGGAUAAAUAUGGAUGAGAAGCUACAAACCAAAAGGAAUAGAGGAGCAAUGGGGAACAAGUGAAAAUACAAUCAAAUCACACCCAAAACCCUCUUAUUGAAUCCUCUUCUUGACUCCAUUAUUCACAAAACUUUUUUUUCAUUUUUCUGUAUUUUUUUUUCUUUUUUUUUUCAUCUGGUCUCUUUUCUUUUCUCUCUUUUUAGAACACAAAUUUCAAGAGACAAUAUACACCCUAUUUACAAAACAAAAGCAAGAAGAGGAACCAUCUAGCCA